GAUGAAGAACGUAGUGAAAUGCGAUAAGUAGUGUGAAUUGCAGAAUUCAGUGAAUCAUCGAAUCUUUGAACGCACCUUGCACCCUUUGGCAUUCCGAAGGGUAUGCUCGUUUGAGUGUCAUUGUACUCUCACUCUCCCGAUCUUUGGAUCGGGAGUGGUGGACUUGGGUGUUGCUGCUUUACCGUGGCUCACCUCAAAUGGAUUCGUGCAACUCCUGGUUGGACAUAGUACGGCGUGAUAAGUGUCUUCGCCGGCACCUCACUAGAGGGUGGCUGACCGGGAGCUCUGUGCUUCAAACCGUCUUCGGACAACAACUGACAACUUGACCUCAAAUCGAGUAGGACCACCCGCUGAACUUAAGCAUAUCAAUAAGCGGAGGA
rnacentral:misc_RNA from 1 species